CUUGCAUAAUAAACCAAGAUCCUCAAAACAUGACUCUUUCUUUGGUGUGUACAAUCGAGCCGGUGCCGUCCCGUGAUCCUGAGAGAAACCUGAAACACAUAACACAAAACACUGUAAGCACGAAGCUUAGUGAGUUCCCCAAAAUACCACACAUACACAUAUUAGCCACUCGAGGCUAUAACUCUGUGGGUCCGUGGACCCUACUCUAUGAACCCUCUGGUUCUAACUCUGUGAACCUUCCGGUUCUAACUCUGUAAACAUGCACAACAUAAAUCACAUAGAAAUAAUGCAGUACAACACAUAGCAUACAAAUACUCUGUCACAUAACUCUGGUUACCUACUCAAGGUAAAGUAUAGUGAGAAGACUCACCUCGCGUAUCUCGAUAACUCGCAAAUCCCGGAAAUCACUCGCGCUCGAUCCUCCGAGCUAUAAUCCUCCUAUAACACAAUAUAUCUCUAAUUAACACUUUCACAACUAAGGUUGACUACCCCUAUCAAGUCAACACUGGUCAACUCUGGUCAACGGUCAACGGUCAACUUUGACCGGACUCGGCGAGUGCACUAGAGCGACUCGGCGAGUCUAUACGUGUUCACUGACUCCCUAGGAUCCUCUCUUGACACGUCGAGUACUUCCCUGACUCGACGAGUUCCACCUGGCAUGAAUCGCGGGGCCACCACGACUCAACUCGCCGAGUCUCAAGAACAACUCGGCGAGUUCCAGCUUGACUCAGUCCACCUGUCAACCCUCUCUGACUCUCCCUGACUCACUGAGUCAACCCUUAACUCGGUAAGACCACUCGCUGAGUGGUUAUGGACAAUCUUCAUGCUACUCGCCGAGUCUGUUCUUCGGACUCGGCGAGUCUAAGCCAUGCAUGAACUCAAACUCACUCCUGAGGUCAGAUCCGUUCCAGUAACUCAUAGAUCCAGUCCUUCCAAGCACAUUUAUCACGUAAAGUUACAAUCUUGGUGCUCAUGCAAAGGUCCAAAGGCCUUAUUUGAUGAUAUGGUCUCUAGAAUGCUAUUCUAAGCUCAUGGCCUCCAUUAACACUCAUAAAGCUUGAGGGAAAAGAGUCUCUGGACCUCUUUGGGUCCAGAUCUAAAGCAUCAACACAAAAAGAGGCCAAUUACUCCAUGAAUCAUUCCACAAAGAAGCCCUAACUCUAAGAUUUACACCAAGGGCUGAGAAAGGAACGAAUGGUUACCUCAAAUGAAGUCUCUGGACUCAGGAAUCACUGGAUUAGCACCUCCUUUGGUCUCCUCUUGCCUUGAUCCUCUUCUAUAUGCAAAAUCACCCACAAGUAAUCAAGGAUCUUCCUAUUUUCUCUCACAAAACGCUCAAGGACUCUUUUAGGGUUCUCUCUGGGGUUGGUGGCCGCAAAUGACGGCCAUAAUCCCCUUUAAAUAGGUGUCAUACCCUAAAAUUUAGGGUUUCAUUAAACAGCGUGGACUCGCCAAGUCCGGACGCGAACCCUUUCCCAAACCGCGAUCAUACUCGGCGAGUUUGAGCUCCAACUCGCCGAGUCUCCUCACAAAACACCAAAAUUAAGAAGAAUAAAUAAUACCUGGGAAUCCGGGCUGUUACAAUUUUCCCCCACUAGAACUAGACUUCGCCCUCGAAGUCUCGCUCUGCAAAUAACUCCGGAUGCUGCUCACGCAUCUCAAGCUCUGGCUCCCAAGUCAUCUCGGACGCCAUACGAUGUCGCCACUGAACCAAAACCAAGGGUAUCUCCUUUUUCCUCAAAACCAUGAUUUUCCGAUCUCUGAUUGCCAGUGGUCUCUCAGCAUAAUUCAGGCUCGCAUCUACCUGAAUAUCCUCUAAUGGAACCACUGCCGACUCAUCGGCUAUACAUUUCCUCAGUUGCGACACAUGAAAAGUGUCGUGAAUCUGCCCCAACUCUGCUGGAAAAUCCAAACGAUAGGCUACCCGGCCUACCCUCGCGAUCACUCGGAAUGGACCAAUAUAUCUGGGCCCCAACUUUCCCCUCUUCCUGAAUCGAAUCACUCCUUUCCAAGGAGAGACCUUCAGCAGUACAAGGUCACCGACCAACAAUUCGAGCUCGAACCGGCGCCUGUCAACAACCUCUGCCUGAUCUGUUGUAUCUGCUCUGACGUCUGAAGCACAAUCUCUGUACUUCCCAUCACACGUUGCUCUACCUCUCCCCAGCAAAUGGGGUCCAAUACCCCCUUCCCUACAAUAGCUCAAAAAGCGGCAUACUGAUGCACUAAUGAUGGCUGUUGUUGUAGGAAAACUCUGCCAAGGGCAAAUACGGGCCACAAUUUCCCCUCGAAAUCUAAUAUACAUGCCCGAAACUUAUCCUCGAGCGUCUGAGUCGCUCGCUCUCUCUGAAGUGUCCACAGACAUCACCAUGGUAAACUCUAGCUCUUUUCUCAUAUUCAUCUUCGAUACUGAGCACCAGGUCAGCUUUUGGCCUCACAGCUGAACCCCCAAAGGUCACACAUAACAUGAUCAAAAAACAUUUCACUAACUUCCUCCCCGUGACCACUAUCACGGCCCAGUGACACGCAAGUCACUAAAUUCCCUUCUCCUCAUAAAAAAUACAAUCCAAUCGAAGAUCGACUUAGCUCUAACCUCUGGCGUCUGCUGUGCAUAUUCUCCCGCGCGCCUCGCUGACCCUCCCGACAGAGACGGAGACCCCAGUCUCGCCCCGGUUUAACCACUAGGAUUCCAAAAACUCAACACUAGAGCUACUCAAGCCUAAAGCUCUUCUACAUCAUGCACUUAUCGGAGAACACUCCAUCAUCACACUCUCUUGCCAUCUAGUGGGUACUAUAGCUUCCCACAACAUUACGAUAGCCUAUGACUAGUGAGUACUACGACUCCCUCUCUCUAACUUGUGAGUACUACGGCUCCCCGUAGCAUCACAACCCCCUCUGACUAGUGAAUACUACGGCUCCCCGUAGCUUCACCCCAUACUCUCAUUCUCAUUACGAUGCCACACUACGUCUACUAACUCAUGCUCCGUAGACUAUCAUAGAUAGCUACACACACUUGUCCCAAAUAUGCAUCACAGACUCUGGCGGCAACCGNCCACGUAGCAUCACCCUAUACUCUCAUUCUCAUUACAACGCCACACUAUGUUCAAUAACUCAUGCACCGAAGUCUAUCAUAGAUAGUUACACACACACUUGCCCCGAUAUGCAUUACAGACUCUGGUGGCAACCACCAUAACACAUAACCUACCUCUACGGAGAUCCACUUCCUUAAAUAAUCCCUCUUGAUGACAAUACACGAAGGGCUCCCACUGGAACCGUGCAUACGUGAUACAUCACUAGUCAUCUUAAACCCAAGACUCUAAAUAUCUUUGAAAUCAGGACGCUAUACGCGGAAACCACGGAACACCCUAACAGAGCAUCAUAAUGCCCUGCCUCUACCACUGAUUCCCUUACUCCCAGCACCAUACACAUACAACAAUACAUUUCCUCUGAAUCCCAUAAUAAUUUCAUAUUUCACUCAAUGUGCAAGUUUAGUGCAGCCAAACACUCAAUUGGAAUACAUGGAAGGCGCUAAACCUUCAGAACACACUGAUGAUCCUCUGAAACCCUUUCCACUACUGCUCAAAAUCUAAGCAAGAAUACACAUCCCAGUCCGGGAGUUGGCUACUCGACAAUCUUCUACCCAUGUUUCAACCCAGAAGUUCUCAACUGCCCAUACCAUCAUUACAAGUCUUCCACUUGAAACGACUCUGACCACCACCAGAUUCCUGACCAUUGACCACCCGUCGUGGAGACACCCAUCCUUCUCUCAGACAUAUACCACAUGCAUUAUCUCGCCCUGCACCUUUCCUUGAUCACCAAUGACCCUGAUCUCAUGAAUUCAAGCCGCAGGUUUCUGCAUCCAACCCCUAACCGCUCUUGCACAAAUCUCUGGAUCUCUCAAUAAACCACCCGGUUCUACCCCACUUAGGGUUCGAACCAUCACUAUCUGACACAUCAACAACCUCACGAACUAUUUUCACCAGCAAUAACGCACCUGCCCCUGGAAAGUGCUACGCAACGCCCGAUAAUCCCCUUUAAGGAAAUCAAUCGAUCUCAUAACUCUGAACCUCAGAUGAAAUCCUCAAGAACUUCUUGUCACGACUGCCUCUAGUCGUUCCAAGUCUCGUACCAAUCCAAUACCAAACAACUCAACUGUACAAUAACAUCACUGACUCAUAGACUGGACCACGAAAUCAUCAUAUUCACCCACCUCGACUCAUCAACCGACGUUCCAUCACAUGGAUCAUCCCAAGAACAGGGACCCACUCCCAUAUUCAAUACCCAACAUAGAUAGAAAAACCACUGCACUGAUUAACUCGACUGGACUCCCCCAGUGAUACCUGUACAAUACGCCCUACUAUACUCAAAUAGGUGUGACGUGGUCCUCGACUAUCUCAGUCCCAACUAACUAUCUGCUCAUGGUAAAUCAUUGUCUCGCAGCACACAUGCUACCUGAUACCCUAAUGGAAAAUCAUCAUCAAUGACAACCUACAGGGUUUUACCCCCAAACCCGAAACAUAAACAUCAGGCCUCUCAUGUUCCGUACACGAACAUAAAUAGCACCACUCAGGUCAUAGAAGGUGACAUCUCCUCUAUCGACUGAUUGCUCAACUCAGACCGAAAUUCUCCCCUCCCUCUAACUCCUUACCAAAAUACUCUGAUAGGCUCUCGACCUCCCUCUCAAGGGACGCCUCUUCGAACUCAAUCAUGGCCCACAGGCCUAAAACCCAUAGCGUCCAAUCUCUACCUCAUCAAUCGUGACCGGAUAACCGGAGAACCACAAGCAUCAUUCACUACGAACCAUGGUACUCAUCCCAUGACAUCUCUUCUCAAUAUGCUCCGGUGUAUGGUACCCGAACCAUAGCAUCACUCCUCCAUCUGCUCCGAUGUAUGGUACUCGAACCAUAACAUCAUUCCUUCAUCCGCUCCGAUUUAUGGUACUCGAACCAUAACUUCACUCCUCAAUCCGCUCCGAUGUAUGGUACUCGAACCAUAACAUCACUUCUCAAUCCGCUCCGAUGUAUGGUACUCGAACCAUAACAUCACUCCUCAAUCCGCUCCGAUGUAUGGUACUCGAACCAUAACAUCACUCCUCAAUCCGCUCCGAUGUAUGGUACUCGAACCAUAACAUCACUCCUCAAUCUGCUCCGAUGUAUGGUACUCGAACCAUAACAUCACUCCUCAAUCCGCUCCGAUGUAUGGUACUCGAACCAUAACAUCACUCCUCAAUCUGCUCCGAUGUAUGGUACUCGAACCAUAACAUCACUCCUCAAUCCGCUCCGAUGUAUGGUACUCGAACCAUAACAUCACUCCUCAAUCCGCUCCGAUGUAUGGUACUCGAACCAUAACAUCACUCCUCAAUCCGCUUCGAUGUAUGGUACUCGAACCAUAACAUCACUCCUCAAUCCGCUCAUUAGAACCUUCAGAAUACUCCCUGUAUCAAGUAUGGGUCCUCUGCUUUCAGUAGUACGGGCCCAUACUACCUGCCACAUCUACCCAUACUUUCCACACGGACUAUCCCGGAGCUCCUAAGUAGCUGCUCGACCUUCUCGUUCACCAAUUCCGUCGCGCGCUCGCUCCCCAGCGAAAUUCUCUACUCUGCCAGCGCACUCAUCUGGCUAAGGUUACUCCCUAGGCUCUUCCUAGAUUCCCACACUUCUCUGCCAUCAGCUGCUGAAGAGCUCCUAAUGAUGCCAGCCAUCUACCUCCUGAAUAUCGUCAUAUUCGCUUGGUAGCUGACUCCCAUCAUCGAGAGUUCCACAAAGCACGAAGCAAGCAACAUUCGAGCAUCGAAGAAUAUAUAUGACUCACUCUGGGUGAUAACUCCGCUUGCUCUGCUCAUCCUCGAAAGUACCACCGAACUCUGCAACUCUUCCCCUUGCGGGUUCUAACUAUUCUUUCUCUAAGUACCACGGUACUUAUCUAGGUAUCUCCCCUAGAUUAAUCCUCUACUCAAAUCCCAUAAAAGGAUUCCAACUAAAUAUUCUCACUCAUCACAUACUCAAAAGCACAUCGCAUAUAACAACAAUCCCUAGGCUAAGGCAUCACAAAUCAGACCACUCUAGUCCUAAGAUAUGAAUUACCUGGCCUGUCUCUAGCAUGCAAUAACAUCUCAUAAAGUGCAUCAUAAAUAUCUCACGACACAAAAGUAAGGGUAUUUUGGGAAAUCACCGUUCGGGCUCUGGCUGAUUGUACACACUGCUCUUUCUCGCUUUCUCUUUGAACUCUUAUUCGCUUUAGAAAAUUAUUUCUUUGAAAACUUUUCUUACUUCCUCAGUUUGAGUCCAGAUUUACCCGAAGGCGCAUCCGAAUCCCUCAAACCAAGGCUCUGAUACCAACUUGUAACACCGAAAAUUUCAAAACAAUUUUUCAUUUAAAAAUAAUCGUUUAAUUCUUAAAAACACUUUGCUUAAAAUCUCAUUCAUAAUCGAAUUACAAAACAUAACUCCAUUUUCACUUGCAUAAUAAACCAGGAUCCUCAAAACAUGACUCUUUCUCUGGUGUGUACAAUCGAGCCGGUGCCGUCCCGUGAUCCUGAGAGAAACCUGAAACACAUAACACAAAACACUGUAAGCACGAAGCUUAGUGAGUUCCCCAAAAUACCACACAUAACACAUAUUAGCCACUCGAGGCUAUAACUCUGUGGGUCCGUGGACCCUACUCUGUGAACCUUCCGGUUCUAACUCUGUGAACCUUCCGGUUCUAACUCUGGGAACCUUCCGGUUCUAACUCUGUAAACAUGCACAACAUAAAUCACAUAGAAAUAAUGCAGUACAACACAUAGCAUACAAAUACUCUGUCACAUAACUCUGGUUACCUACUCAAGGUAAAGUAUAGUGAGAAGACUCACCUGGCAAGCAGAAA
rnacentral:lncRNA from 1 species